GACGAACGCUGGCGGCGUGCUUAACACAUGCAAGUCGAACGGAAAGGCCCUGCUUUUGUGGGGUGCUCGAGUGGCGAACAGGUGAGUAACACAUGAGUAACCUGCCCUUGACUUUGGGAUAACUUCAGGAAACUGGGGCUCAUACCGGAUAGGAGCUCCUGCUGCAUGGUGGUGGUUGGAGAGAUUCGGUGGUUGGGGAUGGACUCGCUGGUUAUCAGCUUGUUGGUGGGGUAGUGGCUUACCAAGCCUAUGACGGGUAGGCGGCCUGAGAGGGUGACCGGCCACAUUGGGACUGAGAUACGGCCCAGACUCCUACGGGAGGCAGCAGUGGGGAAUCUUGCACAAUGGGCGGAAGCGUGAUGCAGCAACGCCGCGUGCGGGAUGACGGCCUUCGGGUUGUAAACCGCUUUCGCCUGUGACGAAGCGUGAGUGACGGUAAUGGGUAAAGAAGCACCGGCUAACUACGUG
rnacentral:rRNA from 1 species